rnacentral:pre_miRNA from 1 species
UAUAUACUCCCUCCGUUCGGAAUUACUUGUCGGAGAAAUGGAUGUAUCUAGACGUAUUUUAGUUCUAGAUACAUCCAUUUCCGAGACAAGUAAUUCCGAACGGAGGGAGUAACUU